rnacentral:lncRNA from 1 species
UGUUUUUAAGGGUGGGUAAAUGAUGCCUGUUUUUGUGUCUAUAGGCUAGAAAUAUGAAGAAAGAGAGAUGUUUUUCUGGGAAAACAUGCAGAUUCACAAGUUUCCAGUGGCAGCCUCGUGUCACAGAGAAAGGGCUUAGACCACGGUUCCUACAUAGCCGAUCCUUCCAGAAUGGUUGGCUUCCUUGAAGUGGAAUACGUACACAGAAGCUUUCAUGUUAUCAUUACAUUCGAGCAAUUCUGAAUUUUAGAAUAGUUGUCACAAUUAGAUCUUCAAGUUAAAGCCUUGGGCA